rnacentral:rRNA from 1 species
UAGGGAAUCUUCCACAAUGGACGCAAGUCUGAUGGAGCAACGCCGCGUGAGUGAAGAAGGUUUUCGGACCGUAAAGCUCUGUUGUUGGUGAAGAAGGAUAGAGGUAGUAACUGGCCUUUAUUUGACGGUAAUCAACCAGAAAGUCACGGCUAACUACGUGCCAGCAGCCGCGGUAAUACGUAGGUGGCAAGCGUUGUCCGGAUUUAUUGGGCGUAAAGCGAGCGCAGGCGGAAGAAUAAGUCUGAUGUGAAAGCCCUCGGCUUAACCGAGGAAUUGCAUCGGAAACUGUUUUCUUGAGUGCAGAAGAGGAGAGUAGAACUCCAUGUGUA